UACGGAGGAUGCGAGCGUUAUCCGGAUUCAUUGGGUUUAAAGGGUGCGCGGGCGGCGCUCCAAGUCAGCGGUCAAAUCCGCGGGCUCAACCCGCGGCCGCCGUUGAUACUGGAGUGCUUGAGUAGGUGCGACGGAUGCGGAAUGCGUGGUGUAGCGGUGAAAUGCAUAGAUAUCACGCAGAACCCCGAUUGCGAAGGCAGCGUCCGAGCACCCCCACUGACGCUGAGGCACGAAAGCGUGGGUAUCGAAC
rnacentral:rRNA from 1 species